CCUACGGGUGGCAGCAGUGAGGAAUAUUGGUCAAUGGACGCAAGGCUGAACCAGCCAAGCCGCGUGAAGGACGACGGCUCCAUGCGUUGUAAACUGCUUUUGUACGAGGGUAAACGCAGAUACGAGUAUCUGUCUGAAAGUACCGUACGAAAAAGGAUCGGCUAACUCCGUGCCAGCAGCCGCGGUAAUACGGAGGAUUCAAGCGUUAUCCGGAUUUAUUGGGUUUAAAGGGUGCGUAGGCGGGCGGUUAAGUUAGGGGUGAAAUCCCGGGGCUCAACUUCGGAGGUGCCUCUGAUACUGGUCGGCUAGAGAGUAGGUGCGGUAUGCGGAAUGUAUGGUGUAGCGGUGAAAUGCUUAGAGAU
rnacentral:rRNA from 1 species